CGUGGUUGCGCCGCAGUUAAGGUUUUAGGGCCCGACCUCCCGUCACGGGGGCGAUCAAUUUGGUCGAACUCGAUGGCUCGGCUUUCUCUCUUUCGCGCUCUCCUCCCUCUCGUGGUUCUUCUCUGAAACCCUUCCGUAUAAAGCUCCAGAUACUUUUACCAGACCAAGCCUUAGUUGCAAACCAUGGGUUCCGAUGCUGACAUGGAGGACUACGGGUUCGAGUACUCCGACGAGGAGCCUGAGGAGCAGGAUGUUGACAUCGAGAACCAAUACUACAACUCUAAAGGUUUAGUGGAAACUGAUCCUGAGGAAGCACUUGCUGGUUUUGCUGAAGUAGUGUGCAUGGAACCUGAGAAAGCUGAGUGGGGAUUCAAAGCUCUCAAACAAACAGUUAAGCUAUACUAUCGGUUGGGCAAGUACAAAGAGAUGAUGACAGCCUACAGGGAGAAGUUGACAUAUAUCAAAUCUGCUGUUACACGUAACUACAGUGAAAAAUGUAUAAACAACAUAAUGGAUUUUGUUUCGGGUUCCGCAAAUCAGAAUUUUGGUCUUCUGCAGGAGUUCUAUGAGACGACACUAAAGGCACUUGAGGAGGCAAAGAAUGAGAGACUUUGGUUUAAGACAAAUCUUAAACUUUGCACAAUUUGGUUUGACAUGGGUGAAUAUGGACGAAUGGGUAAGAUAUUAAAAGAACUUCACAAAUCCUGCCGGCGAGAAGAUGGCACCGAUGAUCAAACAAAAGGCACACAACUUCUAGAGGUCUAUGCUAUUGAGAUUCAAAUGUAUACGACCAAAAAUAACAAAAAACUUAAGCAACUGUAUCAGAAGGCUCUUACCAUAAAGUCUGCAAUACCCCAUCCAAGAAUCAUGGGAAUAAUUCAUGAAUGUGGCGGGAAAAUGCACAUGGCUGAGAGACAAUGGGCAGAAGCUGCCACUGAUUUCUUUGAAGAGAUGAAGCUGGAAAUCAGAGUUGCAUCCAAUGUCUUAAAUAUUUGGUUCUUGCCAACAUGUUGAUGGAAUCUGAAGUGAAUCCAUUUGAUGGGCAAGUGGCAAAGCCAUACAAGAAUGAUCCUGAGGUCUUGGCAAUGGCAAAUCUGAUAGCAGCAUAUCAGCGAAAUGAGAUUUUGGAGUUUGAGAAAAUCUUGAAGAGUAACAGACGGACAAUCAUGGAUGAUCCCUUCAUCCGAAACUAUAUUGAGGAUCUUUUGAAGAAUAUCAGAACCCAAGUUCUCCUCAAGCUCAUAAAGCCCUACACUCGAAUCAGGAUUCCAUUCAUCUCAAAGGAACUCAAUGUGCCAGAGAAAGAUGUAGAGCAGCUCUUGGUCUCCUUGAUUCUGGACAACCAUAUUCAAGGUCACAUUGAUCAAGUCAACAGAGUAUUAGAGCGGAGUGACAGGUCAAAGGGACUGAAGAAAUAUACUGCCAUAGACAAGUGGAAUACUCAGCUUAGAUUACUGUACCAAACAAUUUCCAAUAGAGUAAGUUAGAGGCUGUAGAGGGUACAUUCUUCGAGAGAGACAUUUGCUGUUGCUGGGUAUCCUUUUACAUGUGAAAGACUAUGCUCUACUUAUGUACGUAUGUGAGUUGGUGAAGAUUAUCAUUUUCUUCAGAAGAGCUUUUAGGGCUAUAUGUUCAUUCGUAGUGUAGAUAACUGGUGCAAAGAAUGUGGUUUUUUUGGCCACACUAGGAGAGGAAUCUGUAUAUUCUGGUGGGUUGUUCUUUCUCAUGGGCAUGCUAUUUAAAAUUAUCAGCUGCUUGUCUUUUGAAUGUCACAAAAUGUUCUGCAAGACUUCUAUCUUUGUUAGGUGGCAGCUGAACUGUCCAGGGGAUCUGUGUUCAAACUGUCGUUAGAUGGAUUAGGAGGUUCUUAAAAUAUCUUUUACUUAUUUUAUUUUG